CUCAGUUGGUUAGAGCGCCUGUCUGUGGAACAGGAGGUCGGUGGUUCGAGCCCACCCAACUGUACCA
rnacentral:tRNA from 1 species